rnacentral:lncRNA from 1 species
AAUUUCAUGAGUUUCAUCGUUCUACGAAAAUACGAUUUAUUUUUUAACAGAUUUAUUUUGUUUCUGGAUUAUUUUUAUCUAUCUAUCUAUCCAUCCAUCUAUCUUUUUUCUCCUUACGUAGCUGGGUAUUUACGUUUUUUUUUUGUGAUCGAUGAUGUUCUAAAAUCUGCGUUAUCUUUCUGCAUCUGCCUUCCGUUGAUUGCGGUUGGGUUCUGGAGAAAACAUAAUUUUCGCUGAGAUCUAUUCGUCCGACGUCCAUACACCACAGUGUGAUUUUAACUGUUUUUCGUUUUCAAUUUGCAGUUCUUGGACUAUUUUUAUUUAUGAUUUUCGUAUUAUUGUUACGAUUUCUUUUGCGUUUCAAAUAUUUUAUAUUUUUUAAUUUUCACUGUCAAUAUUGGAGAUUUAAAAACAAAUUAUUUUCCAACUAUUUAGUUUUGUUUCGUCACUUUCAUCUCCUGUUGAAAAUAGCAGAUAAUUGAAGAUAACCUAAAGUUCAGGUCGUUGGUGUUACCUGUACAAAAAUGGAUCCGCGACCCGAUGAAACGGGAUGACGUCUUAUGUCGACCCGGACCCGAUUAAUUAGAGUAAGAGUUUGUUUGUUUAUGUUUUUACUAAUCGAAAUUCAACAACCUAAAAGAUAUUAUCCAUAAUGUCCGAUCAAGCCCAUGUUUUUAUGGUUUAGAACAAAUAAUUUUUUUUUGUUUAUUUUUUAAUUUCAGUUCGACGAUUUUUGAUUUUUCGACAUUCUUCGCGUCCUUUCUUUGUUGUCUUGAAAUUGAGUGAAAAUGUUCCAGUUAACUUUCAAUCAUCCAUUUGAUUGUCUCCGACGAGUUUGUCCAUCAUUGGAAUUUCUGUUAGAUUCUUCUACAAAACAAGAAACUUCGAUGUGGUUUGACCGUAGUUCCUCCUCAGUUCUUUGUUUAUUUUCCUUAAUAAAUUUCAGGAUAAUUGUACAUCUAUAACCUUCUCCAAGUUUGUCAGCGGCGGCAACCUUCAAAAACCCCUGAUUAGUCGAUACGCUAUCGUUCCCAGGAAUAGGAUCAACAUCAGAAUCGUUUUUUAUAAGAACCUACUUAUCAUUUUUCGUAGUUGAAUCAUUCCUUUUAGGAGAAUCGCAAGUCAGUUAAAAAUAAGAGAAUCUUUCGGACAAUCGAUAUUUUGACUGAAAUUUAAAAAUUAAGUUGUUAUUGGCCAAAAUAAGUGAUCUGAAAUGUAAUUCUCCCUCAGUUAUAAUGGGUACAAAUAGAAGUGAACACCGGUUGUAAAAUAUGGUAGUCCCAGAUAUGUUAUGGGUAAACUUUUAACAGUAUAUCUUAAGAUGUCAUGUAAAGAUUGAUCUUCUGCACAUACUUUUGUUCGCAUUUACCUUCAAUUUUGAAAACAAUGAAAUUUUCUCAACCAACGCUUUAAUUGCAUUAAGCGAUUUCGAGUUUGUGUUUGAGAAGAUGAGAAUAUCAUCUUCUGUAUACGUAAGAUGAGAUAUAGAAGUAGUCAAGUAGCACCAUUAAUUUGAUAGAUGUUUAUCUUUUUGUUUUUCAUUUCACUCUGUAUCAAUCUACCUAGACGUUCAUAACCAUGUCAAAUAAAAUAGAAGAUAGAUGAUCACCCUGCUUAACUCCCUUCUUGCUUUUGAAGGAAGGCGUUGAAGUCCCUUCCACUAGUACUGAGAAUGAAAUCAAAUUGUAAAAUAUAAGAUAAAAUAUAUACGUUUCAAGAGUGAAAAUUAUAAUCUCCCAACUAACUGUGUCAAUUUUUUUUUAAGAUCUAUACUCAAACAACACCUUUUGAGAGUUCUUUUUUUCCCAAAGUCAUAAACCAUCUCAUCCACUAGAAUGGUAUUAUCCGAGAUGAGUCUGAAGAUUAUAUACAACAAUUUUCAGGGAAGCCCCCUUAAAAUAGGCUCAAAAACGUCCAUUGAAUCUCAACCGUCCAUCUCAUCUUCAUUAUAAAAAAAAAAAUUCUUCAUCUACACUCUUCUCCUUAGAGUGUACUAUCUUACACAUUCUCUUUUCUUUUGCUUUCUUCUCUCUUUCUCUUUCUUCCUCUCUCUUCAUCUCUUCUUCUCAUCUCCUCUUCCUUAUUCUUCAGAUUUUUGUACCCAUUUUUUUAUAAAGGUUCUUUCGAAAUCAUGUUUAUCUCAUCUUCAGGUUUUUUAUAAAGGUUUUUUUCGUUGUUUCCUAUCUUUUUUUCCCGUUGUUUGUAAUGUAGUCUAUAUGUUGUUUGACACACCUACAUUACUUAUUCUUUAUUUUUCUACCUAUUUAUUUUUCCUCCUAUGACUCUGUUUCUAAAUUAGUUUAUGUAUUGUUCAUUAUUCUCACCAUUAACCAGAAACGAUCGGAGAAGGAGGUGCGAUCGGUACCGACAGGAACGUGAUUGGCAGGACGAUGAGUAUCCCUACCCGGCAACAUUGAAUAUUGGUAACUUCGUUUCAAUAUAUCUCUCUGCUAACAAUUUCUUGCAAUGGCGGACACAAAUGGUUAACUUGUUAGAAGGACAAGACCUUAUUGAGUUCGUUGAUGGCUCAAUAGUGGCACUCCUAAAAUUCAUUGAUGCAUCAUUGAGGGAAACAUGGGUAUUAAAUGUGAAUUUAAACCCUAGGUUUAAAUUACGGAGAAAGACUGAUCGACAAAAGGUUAGAUUACUAGUCGACUUUCUUCAACAACUCUGAGUCUAAUUACUAGGAUAGAAACAUCAAAAGGGGUAUGGGACACCUUUGAAAAGUGUGUGUGCACAAGAUUCAUUUGAGAGAGAGUUUCUAUUGAG